UUUGUUCUGUGGAGAAUCACUGAGGCCAGGGAAGCAUGUACAUCUACCGCKCUGCAUGAUUUGUCCACUUUGAAUAAGAAUAAACAUAUUUUCCUCCCCCUGAUUUGUUUUGGGGUCUGUGUUAUUGAAGAAUAACAUCAACUGCUAACACUUGGUGCYGUGACCCGAAAUGAAUUGGUCUAAACAGCAACAAGAAAAACUCAACUGUGUGUUGAUCCAGAAGAAAGGCUGAGCACAACCCACUUUGGGGAGUCAACUCUUAAUCUCCUGAUUGAUGGCAGAAGUGCUGGGUUAUGAGACUCUACAGUCUGAAGCAAUAUCCCUUGAUCCAGGACUGUACUUGAAAUGAUACAAGAUCACCGGUGAAGUGCUCAUUAGAGAAGUCCUUAUCAACCAGUGGAACGGAAGAAGAAUUCCUCACUACCGGCAGACUGUCAGAACAUCAUCUCAAAUAGUUAUCUAUGGGGGACUGAUAUCAGUGUGGAAGAGCAGGUCACUUUUAAAGGACUUGGUGAAUAAUUACCUUGCCAAUCGAACAAUUUAAUAUUGUCUUGUAGACAAUUAUUUAUUUUGUGUUUCCUCCUAGUACAGGAUGUGGUAGGAAUUGUAAGGGACAUCAUUACACCUGUUAAUACUUAUUUUCUAUAACUUUGUUUGAAAUCUUAUUGUAACAGCAAGUACAAUAUGCCCUUUGUGUUUUAUAGAAAUGCAAGGUGUAAUGUGAAUGAUUUUGUUACUGCCUAUUUGUUCAUGUUUUUUAUUUUCUAAAAKACAUGUUUUUUUUAGGGGGGAGUAAAAAUGUUGAAGAUAAAUACACAACGCAGAGGACGAGAGGACUAGAAUUAACAAUCAAUGGAAAGUGUUUUUUCUGUAGUUACGUGUAGCACAUUCUUAUUGGUACAACCUGAAAUGGRAUACUCGUUAUUUUGUAAUAGGUCAAACACAGGCUAGGGCUGAGUUACAAAGUAGAUCUGGUUCCUUUGUUUUGUGGAGAAUCACUGAGGCCAGGGGAGCAUGUGUAUCUACCUCCCCGCAUGAUGAUUCCUCUUUGAAUAAACCUCUUUUCCUCCCCCUGA